rnacentral:rRNA from 1 species
UGGGGAAUCUUGCGCAAUGGGCGAAAGCCUGACGCAGCAACGCCGCGUGGGGGAUGAAGGCCUUCGGGUCGUAAACCCCUUUCAGUGGGAACGAUUAUGACGGUACCCAAAGAAGAAGGUCCGGCCAACUACGUGCCAGCAGCCGCGGUAACACGUAGGGACCGAGCGUUGUCCGGAUUUAUUGGGCGUAAAGAGCUCGUAGGCUGUUCGGUAAGUCGGGUGUGAAAACUCCAGGCUCAACUUGGAGACGCCACCCGAUACUGCCGUGACUAGAGUCCAGUAGGGGAGUGCGGAAUUCCUGGUGUAGCGGUGAAAUGCGCAGAUAUCAGGAGGAACACCGGUGGCGAAGGCGGCACUCUGGGCUGGAACUGACGCUGAGGAGCGAAAGCGUGGGUAGCAA